GCCAUCGGUGUUCUUCCUGAUGUCUGCGCAUUUCACCGCUACACCAGGAAUUCCAUUCUCCUCUUCCGGACUCUAGCCAGAUGGUUUCGAUCGACGUCUGGAGGUUGAGCCUCCAAUUUUCACAACCGACCUACCUGGCCGCCUACACGCGCUUUACGCCCAAUAAAUCCGGACAACGCUUGCCCCCUACGUAUUACCGCGGCUGCUGGCACGUAGUUAGCCGGGGCUUCUUCUGGAGGUACCGUCACCCUCUGGGCUAUUCACCCGAGUGGCUUCGUCCCUCCUGAAAGCGGUUUACAACCCGAAGGCCGUCUUCCCGCACGCGGCGUCGCUGCGUCAGGCUUUCGCCCAUUGCGCAAGAUUCCCUACUGCUGCCUCCCGUAGGAGUCUGGGCCGUGUCUCAGUCCCAGUGUGGCUGAUCGUCCUCUCAGACCAGCUACGGAUCGGGGCCUUGGUGAGCCGUUACCUCACCAACAAGCUAAUCCGCCGCGGGCCCAUCCUCGGCCGGAGGCCGAAGCUACCUUUCCCGACCGGUCCGAAGACCGAAAGGGCCAUCCGGUAUUAAUCCGGGUUUCCCCGGGCUAUCCCGGUGCCGAGGGCAGGUUACCCACGUGUUACUCACCUGUUCGCCGCUGUCCCCGGAGCCGAAGCUCCGGUUCUCGCUCGACUUGCAUGUAUUAAGCGCGCCGCCAGCGUUCGUCCUGAGCCAGGAUCAAACUC
rnacentral:rRNA from 1 species